GCUGGGUGUGGUGGCGUGCACCUAUAGUCCCAGCUACUUGGGAGGCUGAGGCAGGAGGAUUGCUUGAGCCUAGGAUUUUGGAGGCUGCAGUGAGCUAUGAUGGCACCACUGUACUGUACUCCAGCCUGGGUGACAGAGUGAGACUCUGUCUCAA
rnacentral:SRP_RNA from 2 species